rnacentral:lncRNA from 7 species
ACACAGAAGAGCAGCUUGAACUACUCUAUCCCUCACUAAGUCAGGGCCAGGCUGCCUGCAUUCAGAAGUCUGCAGAGAGCAGGAAGGAAACAGCUGGAAGUUAGGAUGUAGAGAGCUGUCCUGCAAGUAGAAGUCUCCGAAGUAAUAACACAUGCUGUUGGUCCUCAGCACUGUAAUUCAUCUGUGAAGGCCAGGAAACUGUCAGUAAAAGAGUCUGAAACAGCUGUAGGGUGACCUGUGCUACCAUCUGCAUGCUGAGUAGUGAGGCUUUCAUCUGCCCACCAGCAUCAGCUUGCAGCAGAAAGGCCCCUCCUCAGAACCUGCUCCAUGGGCCAGGACAUGGCCUGCAGACCUCACCCCUGGCAGCUCACAGCGGUGAUGAGAGAAAUAAAGGUCAUGAAUGAGCAUUAAGAGGAGUUAUCUGGAAAUUAAAAUUCACACC